GGGGGCGACCGGUUUCGAUUGUGCAGGUGGCCUCGUGGUUGCGUGCCCAGGUCCUCGGGUUCCUGGUAAAACACUCGGGAAACUUUCAACUGCGAACCAAAACUUCGCCCUGGCUGCGUAACUCCGGCUAACGCCGAGCUACACCAGCAGUGCUCCACAGGAAGCCCUCCCGGGGCGGCCCAUGGAGUAUCGCAAAUCUGGGAUAGUGUUGCGGUCCGUCGUCGGCCGAAACGCGAAACUCUAGACGGCUCAUCUGUCUGUGGGCGGCCUGUCGGCCAGCGGACGGAAACAUCAAUCGACGGGCUACGCACGUAGGCGCUGCGGGAGAUCCUAUGCAAGACGGGAGUUCGAUUCUCCCCGCCUCCAC
rnacentral:tmRNA from 1 species